rnacentral:rRNA from 1 species
AUUAUUAUAAAUUUAAUUGAUGUUUUAAUUUAUAUUGUUUAAUAGAAAUAACUUUUAUUUUAGUAGAUUUUAUUGAAUUAAUUAGCAUUUUUAUAGUUAAAGAGUACUGUAAGGGAGUAUUAUAAGUAAUAAAUAAAGUAGAAUUAAUUUUUUGUACCUUUUGUAUCAGGGUUAAUUAAUUAAUUUAACUAAUAGUUAUUUUCCCGAAAUGGGAGGAGAUAAAGAUUUAUGAUGUUAAUGUUUUAAAAUUAUUUGGAAUAAAUUUUUAGGAAUGAAAUGUUAUUCGUUUCCCAUAUAUCUGGUUUUCUUAGAAUUAAAUUUAAUUUAGGAUAUAUUUAUUAAUAUAAUAAUUGAUAUUUUUGUUAUUAAUAUAUCAAAUAUCUUUGGGGAUAAGCUUGAAGAUAUUUUUAUAAUCAUUUAGUUUAAGUUGGGGCCUGGUAGGCUUAUAAUCAGCCAUCAUUAAUUUCGUUAUAGAGUAUCCCCCUCUAUAUUUUAUUUAAUUAUGAUUUAAAUUUUUAUAAGAAUUAUAUAUUUAAUUUUGUAUUAUUUGUAAUAAUGAUUAAAUUAGUAUGUUAUUUAAUUAAGUUAUAGUAACUCGGCAAAUAUUAUACUCGCCUGUUUAACAAAAACAUGUCCUUUUGUUUUUAAAUAUAAGGUCUAACCUGCCCAAUGAGUAAUUGAAUGGCCGCGGUAUUUUAACUGUGCUAAGGUAGCAUAAUCACUUGUCUUUUAAUUAAAGGCUAGAAUGAAUGGUUGGACGAGGUAUAAGCUUUCUUUAACUUAAUCAUUGAAUUUAAUUUUUCAGUUAAAAAGCUGAAAUGUUUUUGAGGGACGAGAAGACCCUAUAGAUCUUUAUAUAUUUAUUUAUUAUAUAUUUUGGUGAAUUAGUUAUUUUAAUAAAUUUAUAUAUUUGAUUGGGGCGAUUGUGGAAUAAAAAUAACUUCUAUUAUGAAGAUUUCAUUAAUUAGUGUAUUAUUGAUCCAUUAUUAAUGAUUAUAAGAUUAAGUUACCUUAGGGAUAACAGCGUAAUUUCUUUGGAGAGUUCUUAUCAAUAAAGGAGUUUGCGACCUCGAUGUUGGAUUAAAAUAAGUAAUAGGUGCAAAAGUUUAUAUACUGGGUCUGUUCGACCUUUAAUUUUUUACAUGAUCUGAGUUCAGACCGGCGUAAGCCAGGUCAGUUUCUAUCUUCAAAUAUUAUUAUUAGGUUUUAGUACGAAAGGACCGGACUUAAGGAAUACUUUUUAUUAUAUUUGAUUUCUAUU